rnacentral:rRNA from 1 species
GAAAGGAAUGCUAAUACCGAAUGAAGCGCAGGAGAGGCAUCUCUCCUGCGUGAAAGAUGGCCUCUAUAUAUAAGCUAUCACCUGUCGAUGGGCCUGCGUCUGAUUAGCUGGUAGGUGAGGUAACGGCUCACCUAGGCGACGAUCAGUAGCCGGUCUGAGAGGAUGAACGGCCACAUUGGGACUGAGACACGGCCCAG